AUUGAACGCUGGCGGCAUGCCUUACACAUGCAAGUCGAACGGCAGCACGGGUGCUUGCACCUGGUGGCGAGUGGCGAACGGGUGAGUAAUACAUCGGAACGUACCUUAUCGUGGGGGAUAACGCAGCGAAAGCUGUGCUAAUACCGCAUACGCCCUGAGGGGGAAAGCGGGGGAUCGAAAGACCUCGCGCGAUUAGAGCGGCCGAUGCCUGAUUAGCUUGUUGGUGGGGUAAAAGCGCACCAAGGCGACGAUCAUUAGCUGGUCUGAGAGGAAGAUCAGCCACACUGGGACUAAGACACGACCCAGACUCCUACGGGAGGCAGCAGUGGGGAAUUUUGGACAAGCGGGGCAACCCUGAUCCAGCAAUGCCGCGUGAGUGAAGAAGGCCUUCGGGUUGUAAAGCUCUUUUGUCAGGGAAGAAACACCGGCUCUAACACAGUCCGGGAAUGACGGUACCUGAAGAAUAAGCACCGGCUAACUACGUGCCAGCAGCCGCAGUAA
rnacentral:rRNA from 1 species